rnacentral:rRNA from 1 species
AGUGAACGCUGGCGGUGGGCCUAACACAUGCAAGUCGAACGGCAGCACAGUAAGAUCUUGCUCUUACGGGUAGCGAGUGGCGGACGGGUGAGGAAUACAUCGGAAUCUACUUUUUCUUGGGGGAUAACGUAGGGAAACUUGCGCUAAUACCUCAUAUGACCUACGGGUGAAAGCAGUGGAUCUUCGGACCUUUCGCGAUUGAAUGAGCCGAUGUCGGAUUAGCUAGUUGGCGGGGUAAAGGCCCACCAAGGCAACGAUCCGUAGCUGGUCUGAGAGGAUGAUCAGCCACACUGGAACUGAGACACGGUCCAGACUCCUACGGGAGGCAGCAGUGGGGAAUAUUGGACAAUGGGCGAAAGCCUGAUCCAGCAACGCCGCGUGGGUGAAGAAGGCCUUCGGGUUGUAAAGCCCUGUUGUUGGGGAAGAACAGCAGCAGGAUAAUACACCGACGUUCUGACGGUACCCAAAGAGUAAGCACCGGCUAACUUCGUG